rnacentral:rRNA from 1 species
GUGAGUAGUUCAGAGUUUGAUCCUGGCUCAGGAUGAACGCUGGCGGCGUGCUUAACACAUGCAAGUCGAACGAAGCGCUUUGACGGAACUCUUCGGAGGGAAGAUAUUGUGACUGAGUGGCGGACGGGUGAGUAACGCGUGGGUAACCUGCCUUACACAGGGGGAUAACAGUUAGAAAUGACUGCUAAUACCGCAUGACCCGCUAGUACCGCAUGGUACAGACGGAAAAGAUUUAUCGGUGUAAGAUGGACCCGCGUCUGAUUAGCUAGUUGGCAGGGUAACGGCCUACCAAGGCGACGAUCAGUAGCCGGCUUGAGAGAGUGGACGGCCACAUUGGGACUGAGACACGGCCCAG